rnacentral:rRNA from 1 species
GCGGCUACUGCUAUCAGGUUUCGACUAAGCCAUGCGAGUCAAGGGGUCGUAAGACACCGGCGUACUGCUCAGUAACACGCGGACAAUCUACCCCCAGGUGGAGGAUAACCUCGGGAAACUGAGGCUAAUACCCCAUAGUUGUCAUGUGCUGGAAUGCUUUGACGAUGAAAGAAUUUCGCCUGAGGAUGAGUCUGCGGCCUAUCAGGUAGUGUGUGGUGUAAAGGACCACAUAGCCUAAGACGGGUACGGGCCUUGAAAGAGGGAGCCCGGAGAUGGACUCUGAGACACUAGUCCAGGCCCUACGGGGCGCAGCAGGCGCGAAAACUGUGCAAUGCGCGCAAGCGCGACACGGGAAGCCUGAGUGCCUUAACUAUGUUAAGGCUUUUCUUGAUCCUAAAAAGCUCAAGGAAUAAGAGCUGGGUAAGACGGGUGCCAGCCGCCGCGGUAACACCCGCGGCUCGAGUGGUAGUCACUUUUAUUGAGCCUAAAGCGUUUGUAGCCGGAUUUGUAAAUCUCUAGGAAAAUACUUCUGCUUAACUGAAGAAAUUUUGGAGAGACUGCAAAUCUAGGGACCGGGUGAGGUUGAAUGUACUUCUGGGGUAGGGGUAAAAUCCUGUAAUCCUGGAAGGACGACCGGUGGCGAAGGCGUUCAACUAGAACGGAUCCGACGGUGAGGAACGAAGGCUAGGGGAGCAAACCGGAUUAGAUACCCGGGUAGUCCUAGCUGUAAACACUGCCCACUUGGUGUUGCAUCUCCGGUAAGGGGGUGCAGUGCCGUAGCGAAGGUGUUAAGUGGGCCGCUUGGGGAGUAUGGUCGCAAGGCUGAAACUUAA